CACGUAGUUAGCCGGUGCUUAUUCUUCCGGUACCGUCAUCCCCCCGCCGUAUUAGGGCAAGGGAUUUCUUUCCGGACAAAAGUGCUUUACAACCCGAAGGCCUUCUUCACACACGCGGCAUUGCUGGAUCAGGGUUGCCCCCAUUGUCCAAAAUUCCCCACUGCUGCCUCCCGUAGGAGUCUGGGCCGUGUCUCAGUCCCAGUGUGGCUGAUCGUCCUCUCAGACCAGCUACUGAUCGUCGCCUUGGUGGGCCUUUACCCCACCAACUAGCUAAUCAGACAUCGGCCGCUCCUAUCGCGCGAGGCCUUACGGUCCCCCGCUUUCACCCUCAGGUCGUAUGCGGUAUUAGCUAAUCUUUCGACUAGUUAUCCCCCAGACAGGGCACGUUCCGAUGUAUUACUCACCCGUUCGCCACUCGCCACCAGGAUUGCCCCCGUGCUGCCGUUCGACUUGCAUGUGUAAGGCAUGCCGCCAGCGUUCAAUCUGAGCCAGGAUCAAACUCU
rnacentral:rRNA from 1 species